rnacentral:rRNA from 1 species
AUGAACGCUGGCGGCGUGCCUAAUACAUGCAAGUCGAGCGAACAGACGAGGAGCUUGCUCCUCUGACGUUAGCGGCGGACGGGUGAGUAACACGUGGAUAACCUACCUAUAAGACUGGGAUAACUUCGGGAAACCGGAGCUAAUACCGGAUAAUAUAUUGAACCGCAUGGUUCAAUAGUGAAAGACGGUUUUGCUGUCACUUAUAGAUGGAUCCGCGCCGCAUUAGCUAGUUGGUAAGGUAACGGCUUACCAAGGCAACGAUGCGUAGCCGACCUGAGAGGGUGAUCGGCCACACGGGAACUGAAACCCGGCCCACACCCCCACGGGGGGCAGCAGGAGGGAAUUUUCCGCAAGGGGGCAAACCCUGACGGGGCAACGCCGGGGGAGUGAUGAAGGUUUUCGGAUUGUAAACCUCUUUUAUUAGGGAAGAAAAAAUGUUAAAGUAACUAUCCCCGUCUUGACGGUACCUAAUCAGAAAGCCACGGCUAACUACGU